AACGAACGCUGGCGGCAGGCUUAACACAUGCAAGUCGAGCGCCCCGCAAGGGGAGCGGCAGACGGGUGAGUAACGCGUGGGAAUCUACCUUUUGCUACGGAAUAACGCAGGGAAACUUGUGCUAAUACCGUAUGUGUCCUUCGGGAGAAAGAUUUAUCGGCAAGAGAUGAGCCCGCGUUGGAUUAGCUAGUUGGUGGGGUAAAGGCCUACCAAGGCGACGAUCCAUAGCUGGUCUGAGAGGAUGAUCAGCCACAUUGGGACUGAGACACGGCCCAAACUCCUACGGGAGGCAGCAGUGGGGAAUAUUGGACAAUGGGCGCAAGCCUGAUCCAGCCAUGCCGCGUGAGUGAUGAAGGCCCUAGGGUUGUAAAGCUCUUUCACCGGAGAAGAUAAUGACGGUAUCCGG
rnacentral:rRNA from 2 species